ACAGCCAUUACGCGUUGAAACACUGGUUCUCGUAUACUCACUGAAGUUAAGCAAUGUUGAGCCUAUUCAGUACCUAGAUGGGUGAUUGCUUGAGAAUUCCAAAUGAUGU